rnacentral:lncRNA from 1 species
UUGGAUUUCCGUCAUAGUUUUUUGAUUGGUUGCCUUGUGCUCUUCCUUUUCCUCUUCCUCGAAAUGAUCCUCCUCGUCCUCGUGAUGAUUCUCCUCUUCCUUGGAAAGAACCUCCUCUUCCUUGGGAAGAUACUCCUCUGCCUUCUUGCCGCUAUUUAGAAUUUGAAUUAUAAAAUUUCAUUUUAGACUCAAAUGCUUGCUCAAGUGGCUGAUUUGAGAACCUGCCAAUUCUUUCUUCAUGUACUUGCAGGGAACUCAUCAAAUCGUUAAAAGUAUAUUUAGACAAAUCUUUUGAUUCUUCAAUAGCGGCGACAAUAUAAUCAUAUUUCGCGGGAAGGCUUCGAAGGACCUUUUGAACAACUUUUUUUUCUUCAAUUGUGUCGCCAAGGCUUCUGAUUUGAUUUACUAUUUCGGAGACUCGAGUUAGAUAGAAUUGCAUAACUUCAUUAUCUUUUUUUGAUAAAUUGUCGAACUCCCUCCAAAGAGAUUGAAGCUUUAGA